UUUUGACCAGUUCUCAAUCUGUGAAAGGAUCUUCCCUCUUAUCCAAUGACAGCUUACUUUGCUUAAGAGCCUUUGAUGAGGGAUCUUGUCAAGCUUUCUGAAAAUCUAAGUACACUAUAUCUACUGGAUUGCCCUUGGCCACAUGUUUAUUGACCCCCUUAAAGUAUU